UUCCCCCCCUCUCUUUAUUUAGGGCCCCCACCCACCAAUCAGGGGUGGGGGCCAGUGGGGGAGGACAGUAGGUCCCCCUUAUUGUUUUUUAGGGCCCCCACCCCUGAGCGGCGGGUGGGGGCCCUAAAAAACAAUAAGGGGGGGG